CGCGAGUAACGUUAGAGUUCCCGCGUGCAGCAGGAGGACGAGAGCAGGCAAACAGCCGACACAGACUCCGGUAACCAACCGCUUUAUUCUCGUUCACGCAUCGCGCUAGCAAAUGAGAUUAAAUGAGAUGGGGCUGUGAUGCCAUCUGUCGUUCUUCUUGGCAAACGCUGUGGUGAAACACGACAUUCCUCCCCACCUACACAGGGAAGGCAACGUCCACAAGCCUUAUGGUGAAUACCGCACAACGGGUCGUCUGUCUCUCGAACUUCUUCGCACUUGGGGUGUGCGCAGUUCCGAAGUGGGUGCCGGAGCAUCUGGCACGUCCAGCGCUGAAUUCUUUCUUGGCAAAGCUUCGUGUUGUAUAUCUCCGUCCUCACAGUUGGCGCUCAGGUUUGGUUGCCCAGCUGAGGUCUGUUGGUCAUGUAAGCUUCCGUCACAUGGGCAGGCUUGCGGUUUCGCCACAGCAGCCGGAGGCACGCUAGGUGCGGCGAAAUCUGGGCGCAGGUGCUCAUGUUGCCGCUUCCAGGAUCGACCAUCCGGCAAUGUAGCAUCAGCGAUGUGAUCGCCCGACGUAGCAGUCACUGCUGCUGGAACCCAGGGCGGACCAUCUCGAAAGUUUCGUGCAGAGAUAUGAUCCCCUGGUUGCACAUGCGGCGUCGGGUACACAUUCUUGUCGUGGACCACCUUCUGCUUUAGCUGCCUUGUCAGAACUGGGGAUCUCAUGUCAGGAUGCAGUAGAGUCAAAGCUGUUUUCAGCUUGCGUCCCGUCAUUAACUCAGCAGGAGAUCAUCCAGUAAUCUCAUGUGGCGUUCUUCAGUAGUUCAGAAGGAUACGAGCUAGCUGACACUCGAAGCUUCCACUCACUGCCUUCUUAAGUUUCGAUUUAAUAGUUUGCACUGCACGCUCCGCAGCACCAUUUGAUGCCGGGUGAUACGGCGGUGUCAGCACAUGCUUUAUGCCAUUUUGCUGGAGAAAUUCUUUGAAACUGGCAUUCACGAAGACUGGCCCAUUAUCAGACACGAUCACGUCUGGCAACCCAUGGGUACCAAACAUGGUCCGCAAGCAUUGAAUGGUGGCAUCGGCCGACGGUGUCGUCAGAGGAACGACUUCUAUCCACUUUGACUAGGCAUCACUCACAAUCAGCAAGUACCGAUUCUUGAGAGGUCCAGCAAAGUCAAUGUAGAUUCGCGACCACGACUUCUCAGGGACCGGCCAUGGCGUCAUCGCUACUGGCCACGCAGUCCUCUGGUUCUCCUGACACAUACGGCAUCGACGCACCACAUUAGUGAUGUCUUCAUCUAGGGUAGACCACCACACAUGGCUACGAGCCACUGCUUUCAUUUUUGAAAUGCCAGGAUGGCCUUCAAUGGAGUAGGUGUAGCACUUGCUCUUACAAUGUACUAGGAAUCGCCACCCGUGAACCCAACAGGAUGCAGUUUUCUUGCACGCUCAUUUGCGUAGUGCGAUGUAUACAUACAGUUUCAGGGCAGGUUCCCACAGCUCUGUUCCUGCCCACAGGGCCUUCCGAGCCUUGGCUAGCACAAGAUCUUUGGAGGUCGCUUCAGCCGCUACAGACGGUACCACGACCUUGGGGUAAGCAGCCUCGAGCAUGAAAACUUCAGCUGGCUGCUCGACGGAAUGUGUAGAAACAGGCAGCGGCAGGCCGCUCAAGCAGUCGACAUUCGCGAUGCUGGCUCCGCGGUCGGUACUUCAGCUGGUAGUUGUAAGCGGCCAGCAUCAGCGACCAGCGCAGCACUCGCGGAGGGCACGUCUCUGGCAUGGGUUUGUCAGCGGCGAGCAAGCCAAGCAAAGGCUUGUGGUCGGUGAUCGCCUCUAACUCUCGGCCCCAUACAUACGGUUGAAACUUGGUCACUCCGAACAGAAGGACUGGAGCUUCCUUAUCUAAAUGACUGUAGUUGCGCUCAGCUGGCGCGAGACUCCUUGAUGCAAAAGCGAUCGGACGCUCAGCACUCGUAUCGUCACGGUGAACCAGCACAGCUCCCUCUUCAUACGGUGAUGCAUCACAAAUCAGCACCAAGGGCUUCCGAGGGUUGUAGUGUGCCAAAACCGCAGCAGACGUACACCAGCAACUCUUUGCUUUGCCGAAACGCACGCUCCUGGUCAGCACCCCACAUCCACGGUGUCUUGGUUCCGAGCAGCUCAUUCAGUGGAUGAAGAACAGUAGAAAAAUUUGGCAGAAAUCGCCGGUAGAAAUUUACAAGUCGCAAAUAACUUUGCAGUUCCAAAUAAGUCCCAAAUAACUGACAAUAAUAACAAGUCCCAAAUAACUUUGCAGUUAUGUAGGGCCAGAAGACCAUCACUAGGUCUUGGGGCCUUCGGUACGGUCUCAGUCUUCUCAGGGUUAGGAUGGAAACCUGCCGACGUAACAACGUGGCCCAGGUAUUCCUCCUGUGGAUCCAUGAAGGUGCACUUGUCGAGAUUGAACUUCAGCCCAGCUUCAUUCAAGCAAUGCAUUACACGGGCCAAGUUCUCAAGGUGAUACUCAUCAUUGCGCCCAGUCACCAGGACGUCAUCAAAGUAUACUACCACGUCCUUGCAUCAAGUUGUCCAUCUCCCGCUGGAAAACCGAAGGUGCUGACGUCACGCCGAAAGGCCGGCGAGUGUACUGGUACAGCCCCCUUGGCGUGUUGAUGGGCAGCCGCUUUGAGGAUGCUUCGUCCAGUUCCACUUGCAAGUAGGCAUCUUUGAGCUCGAGCUUGCUGACCUUUUCACCCUUACUCUGUCUGACAAAAGCGAUUCUCUACACGAGGUAUCGCAUAGUGCUCAGGCACAGUGACAGCAUUCACCGUGACGUUGAAGUCACCGCAGAUUCGAAUUUGUCCGUUGCGUUUGAGAAUAGGCACAAUGGGUGAAGCCCAUUCUGACGUUCUGUUCUCGUCGGUUUCAGCGCUCCGACACAUUCCAUACAGAGAAGUUCUUCCUCGACACGAUCGACCAUCGCGAAAGGCACAGGUCGAGGCUUGAAAAACUUGGGCUUUGUGUUAUCCUGAACGGUGAUUUUUGCAGCCACGCUUUUGAAGGUUCCAAGUUCGUCAUAAAAAACAUUGGAGUAGUCAGCCAGUAUAUCUUAAAGCGACGAAAAUGUGUUCAGCUCUUUUGACUUGCACAAUUCUAUACCAAGGGCUUCCAUCCAGCCGCGCCCCAUGAGGGACGGGCAAGCACCAGAAACAACGCACAACACCUCCUCGCACUUGCGGUUCCAAAGCUAAGAGUCACAGGCAGCCUUCCUAGCACAGGAGGCAACUCACCCGAGCAGCUCUUCAACAUAAACGUUAAUGGCUUCAGGAAGCUUUCAAUGAAAUGUAUCCCCAGACACUACGGAUACACUUGCUCCCGUGCCAACCUCCAUUAGCAACGAAGUUCCGUUCACAGCGACUUCGACACGGUACGGCUGAGUCACUUCUGUAGUGCCUUGCAGGGUCCACAUUUCGUACACCCGAGGCGCAUCCCGCCGCUCUUCGGUUACUUCGACACGGUACGGCUGAGUAACUUCUGUAGUGCCUUGCAGGGUCCACAUUUCGUACACCCGAGGCGACCCUGCCGCUCUUCGGUUUCUUCCACGGUUUUGUCGAAGCCGGCUUCGUUCACGGCAUGCACUGACUUUUUCUUUACAGCCGGCGGCACCGAUCCUCUAGAGUUCGCAACGUUUUUCCUCUUCUUGCACACGCGAAAGAGAUGGCCCCUGACCUUACAGCUGUGGCACACACUAUUCCGGCGUCGGCACUGCGUUGCUAGAUGCUCGGCAUCGCAGCGAAAGCACGAAAUGGCCGUUUCUUCCCGCCUCGGCUUAGCGGAGUCACGUGACACAACGUUGGUCGGCGCGGCAAACGGCGCAGAUGCCAUCGAAAGCGCUUGCGAAUCCUUGCUUGCCGCCUCCAUCGCGAUAACGGUUUUCUUCGCCACGUCCAGCGUCAAGUCCGGCAGCUCCAACAGCCGCCUCUGCACAGCUUCAUCGUUAAUUCCCGUAACGAUGCGGUCAUGCAGCAUUCUGUCGCGAAAGGUACCAAACUCGCAGUCGUCAGCUAGUUUGUUCAGUGAUGCAAAGUAGCCGGCAGCCGCUUCACCCGCCUGUCGUGUUCUAGAGUUGAAUUUGAUUGUAGCAACAACUUCCAACAGUUUCAGCGAGAAAUACUUCCCGAGGAUAUCGAAAAUGGUGGUCAAACGUGCCUCGCACGUCUUCACGGCGCGAGCAGGUUCCGAAGCAGGGUGUAUGUGGCGUGGCCACAACACGUGAGCAAGACAGCUCGUUGCUUGUCAUCCGGCACGUCGUUGGCUAUAAAGUGCUGUACAGCCCGCUCUUGGUAUUCCCAGCUCGUCUGUGCGUCGAACGGCUCCAGCUUGCCGACGCCUGGCAUUUCCUAAGUACAGGAACGCAGCUCAGGGCAGCACCAGCACUAGAAACAGGGCAAUGUGAGCAGCUCAACGCGUCUUCCUCGUCGCCAUUGUAACGUUCGAGUUCCCGCGUGCAGCAGGAGGAUGAGUGCAAGCAAACAGCCGACACAGACUCCGCAACAAGCUAGCGGCACGCCAGACGCGCGUGGAUACGUCAUGCGCCAGACAUGCCACAGGAGCGAGCGAGGCCGGCUGCGCAAGUGAAGCUCGCCUGCUCGGCGACCCGUCUCUUUUGGACGUAGCCCAUUCGUCGGGCUCCGGGCAUUUUCGUGCGUUCCGUCUGCAUUUCGACACGGCACUGCUGCACUACUGGACUACAGCAAGCUGAUGGCACCCGGUGGAGCCUCGUACGGCAACGACUGCUGCUUACCUGGUGCCACAACUUUGGAUGAAUGCACAAGAAUCCCGGAUCGAGCAUUUAUAUAUAGCAAAAUAAACAUUUCAUCAUUUCAGAAGA